GUGUGCUUGUGUGUGUCUGUGUAAAGACAUUAGAAACAUACCAGCACUGAGUCCUGUGAUUGAACAGGAGGAACGUAUCACCCAAGGCCUCUAUUCCAAACCUACUAGGAUACAGAAUGAAGUAGGCCAGGAACCUUAUGAAAGGCCCUAUUAAAAAAAAAAAAUAGGGAUGAAAUCACAGACUGAGGAAUAUACAAGGAGAGCUUGACAAAAGAAUCAGGAGAAAUGUCAGAGUCAGCAUGUACUUUGCUGCAACAACAUCACAUAGGGUUCAUUUUAACCAAUGCCACUUCCCUGCAGGCUUUUGUGCUCUGAGAUGGAGAACAGGAUCGGGGCAUUCCAAUUAUCUAGAUAUGCUUUGACUUACUUUCCUACUUACACCAGCCAUUGAUGAAUCUAAAUCCAAAUGAAGAAGAUUCAAAUUCUAGAAUCAUUUAGCAGGACAUUUUACCUAGAAAUAGAAGGAAAAAUAUCAUCCCUACGACUUUGUAUGACUUUGUAAGUACAGAAAAAAAAACUGAGUUGUAUCUCCCACAAAUCACAUUGUGGAAUUUUUACUGUAUCGAAAGAUUGUUGAAAUUGAUCUUGAAGAUGGUGCCUUUCAUUUCUGUGGAAUUGAUGCACCACCAGACCAAAGGGAUGCGCAACCAGAAUGGGAGCCGAUGAUGAAUUCUAGCUGGAUGCUAAGCUCAGCCAUGGCACAGAGUCUGAGGCAAAUGAAGCACAAAGCAGAGUGCUCUUUUGAGAUUUACCCUUUGACCUUUGAAGGAGAAGAAGAGAAACUAACAAAUGACAUUUUUUAAAUUUUUUAUUUUUUGAGAUGGAGUCUCUCUCUGUCGCCCAGGCUGGAGUACAAUGGCAUGAUCUCGGCUCACUGCAACCUCACCUCCCUGGGUUCAAGCAAUUCUCCUGCCUCAGCCUCCGGAGUAGCUGGGAUUACAGGUGCCGGCCAUCACACCCAGCUAAUUUUUGUAUUUUUAGUAGAGACAGGGUUUCGCCAUGUUUGCCAGGCUGGUCUCCAACUCCUGACCUUAAGUAAUCCACCGCCUCAGCCUCCCAAAGUGCAGGAAUUACAGGCAUGAGCCACUGCCCCCCAGCCCAAAUGACAUUUAAGGUUAGAUUGGAGCUGAGAGUUUGAACAAACUUCAAAUCUCAGAAUAACAGCAAAAUUUCAGUCACAUUAUGUGGAUUCAGUCACAUUGUGAUCAAAACAGAAGAAAAAGGGUUAACUAUCUACUUGAAGAAAAAAGAUCUUCAUGUAGAGGGAAACAGAGACCAAGAGGAGAUAAAUUGGUUUAAGGAUAUGUCAAUACCUUUUCUUUGAAUGACAAGAAGCUUUUGAUACUACUCUUUCCUCUUGGAAAUUAUCCAAAAAAAUAAUGUUUACUAUUUUCUAGACUGAAGUUUAAGACUUGGUUGGGUUUUAAGGUCUCUAAAGCUAAUAUACAUUUCUUGUUCAUUCAUUUAUUCACCAAAUGGAAAUCUUUAGUUUGCUGCUCUUCUUCUGGGCAAAACUCAAAGUUUUUUCUUUAAUACACAUAUUCUCUUUGGCACACAUAAUUAGGUGGCAUGGAUGGGCUUCACUACCACCCCUGAUGCUAACAGUGCCCUUUAAGAAGCAGCUAUUCAGCCUCCUGGAAAUAGGAUUUUCCUCUUUCUUCCAUGGUAGCAAGUAGAAGAUUUUCUUUCUUCCCUUGAUGGUGUGAUAUGAAGAUAUGGAGCCUGGAACAACUAAACCCAUUAUGCUGCCAAGAGAAGACACCUGGGCCUUGGUGGGUUUGAACCACUGAAUUAAGUCUUCACCAAAAUCAGAACAUCUUCUGGACUUUUAAGUUCCAUGAGUUAAUAAACCCUCUUUAUUGGUUAAGCCUUUUUGGUUCAGGUUUUUUGAGUCAUUUGUUUUCAAGAAUCUUUGCAGAGUCAAAAUAACAUUGUGCCAGUUUCUAGAACUAAGACAGUUAAGACUAUCCUAUGCUUUUAAGAGGCUUCCUUUGUGAUGCAAAUAUGACCUCUGAGCAAGUAAGAGACUGAAGUACUAGAAAAAAAACGUCUGAAUUCAAUUUUUAAAAAGGACAAUUAUAAGAAAGAAAAGGAAGAAACAUUUUGUCAGGGGGCCCGGAUAUAGGAACAGAUAACAAAAGAUUGUUCCACCUGCCUGCCUAGGAGAAACAACAAACCAAAAAGUCAUCUGAAAAUCUGCAACUUUUGAUCUAAAUGCAAAUCAAACCAGUUUCUGUGAAAAGCACUUAAACAUCCAGAAGGCUUGUUGUGCAGAACUGAGAAUUUGGGGAUUGCCCACAGCCUUGAAAAGUACAGAACAUGUUCUUUCCUCCAACAAAUAAUUGGGAACAAGAAGUCUGUCUGGAAUUAAUUCAAUUGGUGUCAAGGGUGAGUUACAAAACCAUCAACAUCUAAGAAAUCAACUGUGUUAUCUUUAUCCUGUGUUUUUAUCCAUAUGAAUAAUUUAAACUAUUAUAAAUAGCAGAUUGAUUGUAUUUUCAGAUCAUAGCUAUAUUUAAUUACAUCUUCUGUCACAUAAAAAAUGGCUAAGAUUUUUAACCUUUCUUUUUCAAGAGUAAAGGCAGCUCCCUGGCAUGACCAGGAAUGGGCCUUUUGUUGAACACAAAAUUGAGAUUUAUGGUGCUGGGUUAUAUAAAGAAAAAGGAAAAUAAAUGUAUUUGUCUUGUGACUAUAAAGAAUGAUUUCUUGUAGAUUUAGCUUUGGACUUCUACAUACAAAAGAGGGAUGUGUGAUGUGGCACAGUAAGACUAAAUCCUAAUGUGUACAAGUCACCUGGAUAUUGUGUUGAAAUGCAGAUGCAGACUUAGGAGAUCUGAGGGAGGGCCUUAGAUCUGCAUUUCCGGUAAGAUCCCCAUUGAUGCUAAUGCAUUUGGGCCUACUGGCCACACUUUAAGAAGCAAGAGUAUAGAAGAAAGAACUAAGGUAUAUAGUAUUCAAGAAGUCUGGCUUUAGUUCCAGUUUCAUCACUAAUUAGCCAUGAGACCUCACCAAUAUCACUUAAAUAUAUUCCUCAUGUAUAAGAUGAUGGGGCUGGACUUAGUCAUCUCAAAAUUCCUGACACAAGAACUGGGAGUGAUGACGUGUGCCUGUAAUUCCAUCUACUCAGGAGGCUGAGGCAGGAGGAUUACUUUCUUUCUUUCUUUUUGAGACUGAGUCUCACUCUUUCGCCCAGGCUGAAGUGCAGUGGUGUGAUCUCGGCUCACUGCAAACUCCACCUCCCCAGUUCAAACAAUUCUCCUGCCCCAGCAUCCUGAAUAGCUGGGACUACAGGUGCCCACCACCACACCUGGC
rnacentral:lncRNA from 1 species